UACGUAGGUGGCUAGCGUUGUCCGGAUUUACUGGGCGUAAAGAGCGCGCAGGCGGUCGUUCAAGUCGAGUGUGAAAGCCCCCGGCUCAACUGGGGAGGGUCACUCGAUACUGAUCGACUCGAAGGCAGGAGAGGGAAGCGGAAUUCCCGGUGUAGUGGUGAAAUUCGUAGAUAUGGGGAGGAACACCGGUGGCGAAGGCGGCCAUCUGGACGGUAACUGACGCUGAGACACGAAGGCCAGGGGAGCAAACGGG
rnacentral:rRNA from 1 species